CCUACGGGAGGCAGCAGUAGGGAAUUUUCGGCAAUGGGGGGAACCCUGACCGAGCAACGCCGCGUGAAGGAAGAAGGAAUUCGUUCUGUAAACUUCUGUUAUAAAGGAAGAAAGACGGAUGGAGGAAAUGACAUCCGAGUGACGGUACCUUAUGAGAAAGCCACGGCUAACUACGUGCCAGCCGCCGCGGUAAUACGUAGGUGGCAAGCGUUAACCGGAAUUAUUGGGCGGAAAGAGGGAGCAGGCGGCAGCAAAGGUCUGUGGUGAAAGACUGAAGCUUAACUUCAGUAAGCCAUAGAAGACGGGCAGGUAGAGUGCAGGAGAGGGUCGUGGAAUUCCAUGUG
rnacentral:rRNA from 1 species